UAUGUUUUGUUGACUUGCGUUUGCCUCCAU
rnacentral:piRNA from 1 species